GGUUAAGCGACUAAGCGUACACGGUGGAUGCCCUGGCAGUCAGAGGCGAUGAAGGACGUGCUAAUCUGCGAAAAGCGUCGGUAAGGUGAUAUGAACCGUUACAGCCGGCGAUGUCCGAAUGGGGAAACCCAGUGUGAUUCGUCACACUAUCGUUAACUGAAUACAUAGGUUAACGAGGCGAACCGGGGGAACUGAAACAUCUAAGUACCCCGAGGAAAAGAAAUCAACCGAGAUUCCCCCAGUAGCGGCGAGCGAACGGGGAGCAGCCCAGAGUCUGAAUCAGCUUGUGUGUUAGUGGAACGGUCUGGAAAGUCCGACGGUACAGGGUGAUAGUCCCGUACACCAAAAUGCACAGGCUGUGAACUCGAAGAGUAGGGCGGGACACGUGGUAUCCUGUCUGAAUAUGGGGGGACCAUCCUCCAAGGCUAAAUACUCCUGACUGACCGAUAGUGAACCAGUACCGUGAGGGAAAGGCGAAAAGAACCCCGGCGAGGGGAGUGAAAAAGAACCUGAAACCGUGUACGUACAAGCAGUGGGAGCACCUUCGGGUGUGACUGCGUACCUUUUGUAUAAUGGGUCAGCGACUUAUAUUCUGUAGCAAGGUUAACCGUAUAGGGGAGCCGCAGGGAAACCGAGUCUUAACUGGGCGUUAAGUUGCAGGGUAUAGACCCGAAACCCGGUGAUCUAGCCAUGGGCAGGUUGAAGGUUGGGUAACACUAACUGGAGGACCGAACCGACUAAUGUUGAAAAAUUAGCGGAUGACUUGUGGCUGGGGGUGAAAGGCCAAUCAAACCGGGAGAUAGCUGGUUCUCCCCGAAAGCUAUUUAGGUAGCGCCUCGUGAAUUCAUCUUCGGGGGUAGAGCACUGUUUCGGCUAGGGGGUCAUCCCGACUUACCAACCCGAUGCAAACUACGAAUACCGAAGAAUGUUAUCACGGGAGACACACGGCGGGUGCUAACGUCCGUCGUGAAGAGGGAAACAACCCAGACCGCCAGCUAAGGUCCCAAAGUCACAGUUAAGUGGGAAACGAUGUGGGAAGGCACAGACAGCCAGGAUGUUGGCUUAGAAGCAGCCAUCAUUUAAAGAAAGCGUAAUAGCUCACUGGUCGAGUCGGCCUGCGCGGAAGAUGUAACGGGGCUAAACUGUGCACCGAAGCUGCGGCAGCGACACUAUGUGUUGUUGGGUAGGGGAGCGUUCUGUAAGCCUGCGAAGGUGGCCUGUGAGGGUUGCUGGAGGUAUCAGAAGUGCGAAUGCUGACAUAAGUAACGAUAAUGCGGGUGAAAAGCCCGCACGCCGGAAGACCAAGGGUUCCUGUCCAACGUUAAUCGGGGCAGGGUGAGUCGACCCCUAAGGCGAGGCCGAAAGGCGUAGUCGAUGGGAAACAGGUUAAUAUUCCUGUACUUGGUGUUACUGCGAAGGGGGGACGGAGAAGGCUAUGUUAGCCGGGCGACGGUUGUCCCGGUUUAAGCAUGUAGGCGGAGGUUCCAGGUAAAUCCGGUACCUUUUUAACGCUGAGGUGUGAUGACGAGGCACUACGGUGCUGAAGUAACAAAUGCCCUGCUUCCAGGAAAAGCCUCUAAGCAUCAGGUAACAUUGAAUCGUACCCCAAACCGACACAGGUGGUCAGGUAGAGAAUACCAAGGCGCUUGAGAGAACUCGGGUGAAGGAACUAGGCAAAAUGGUGCCGUAACUUCGGGAGAAGGCACGCUGAUAUGUAGGUGAAGCCCCUGCGGGUGGAGCUGAAAUCAGUCGAAGAUACCAGCUGGCUGCAACUGUUUAUUAAAAACACAGCACUGUGCAAACACGAAAGUGGACGUAUACGGUGUGACGCCUGCCCGGUGCCGGAAGGUUAAUUGAUGGGGUUAUCCGUAAGGAGAAGCUCUUGAUCGAAGCCCCGGUAAACGGCGGCCGUAACUAUAACGGUCCUAAGGUAGCGAAAUUCCUUGUCGGGUAAGUUCCGACCUGCACGAAUGGCGUAAUGAUGGCCAGGCUGUCUCCACCCGAGACUCAGUGAAAUUGAACUCGCUGUGAAGAUGCAGUGUACCCGCGGCAAGACGGAAAGACCCCGUGAACCUUUACUAUAGCUUGACACUGAACAUUGAGCCUUGAUGUGUAGGAUAGGUGGGAGGCUUUGAAGCGUGGACGCCAGUCUGCGUGGAGCCAACCUUGAAAUACCACCCUUUAAUGUUUGAUGUUCUAACGUUGGCCCCUUAUCGGGGUUGCGGACAGUGUCUGGUGGGUAGUUUGACUGGGGCGGUCUCCUCCCAAAGAGUAACGGAGGAGCACGAAGGUUAGCUAAUCCUGGUCGGACAUCAGGAGGUUAGUGCAAUGGCAUAAGCUAGCUUGACUGCGAGCGUGACGGCGCGAGCAGGUGCGAAAGCAGGUCAUAGUGAUCCGGUGGUUCUGAAUGGAAGGGCCAUCGCUCAACGGAUAAAAGGUACUCCGGGGAUAACAGGCUGAUACCGCCCAAGAGUUCAUAUCGACGGCGGUGUUUGGCACCUCGAUGUCGGCUCAUCACAUCCUGGGGCUGAAGUAGGUCCCAAGGGUAUGGCUGUUCGCCAUUUAAAGUGGUACGCGAGCUGGGUUUAGAACGUCGUGAGACAGUUCGGUCCCUAUCUGCCGUGGGCGCUGGAGAAUUGAGGGGGGCUGCUCCUAGUACGAGAGGACCGGAGUGGACGCAUCACUGGUGUUCGGGUUGUCAUGCCAAUGGCAUUGCCCGGUAGCUAAAUGCGGAAGAGAUAAGUGCUGAAAGCAUCUAAGCACGAAACUUGCCCCGAGAUGAGUUCUCCCUGAGACUUUAAGUCUCCUGAAGGAACGUUAAAGACGAUGACGUUGAUAGGUCGGGUGUGUAAGCGUAGCGAUACGUUGAGCUAACCGAUACUAAUGAACCGUGAGGCUUAACCUU
rnacentral:rRNA from 1 species